rnacentral:rRNA from 1 species
CACUCCUGCGGGAGGCAGCAGUGGGGAAUAUUGCACAAUGGGCGCAAGCCUGAUGCAGCCAUGCCGCGUGUAUGAAGAAGGCCUUCGGGUUGUAAAGUACUUUCAGCGGGGAGGAAGGCAAUACGGUUAAUAACCGUGUUGAUUGACGUUACCCGCAGAAGAAGCACCGGCUAACUCCGUGCCAGCAGCCGCGGUAAUACGGAGGGUGCAAGCGUUAAUCGGAAUUACUGGGCGUAAAGCGCACGCAGGCGGUCUGUCAAGUCGGAUGUGAAAUCCCCGGGCUCAACCUGGGAACUGCAUUCGAAACGGGCAGGCUUGAGUCUUGUAGAGGGGGGUAGAAUUCCAGGUGUAGCGGUGAAAUGCGUAGAGAUCUGGAGGAAUACCGGUGGCGAAGGCGGCCCCCUGGACAAAGACUGACGCUCAGGUGCGAAAGCGUGGGGAGCAAACAGGAUUAGAUACCCCAGUAGUCCCAUG